CGGCCGCCUCAUGCUGGCCGGCCACGGCGGCGUCUUCGCGCUCACGCUGCUGCUCAUCCUCAGCACCACCAUCCUCUUCUUCAUCUUCGACUGUCCCUACCUGGCCCGCACACUGACCCUGGCCAUCCCCAUCAUCGCCGCCAUCCUCUUCUUCUUCGUCAUGAGCUGUCUCCUGCAGACCAGUUUCACUGACCCCGGCAUCCUACCCCGGGCCACCAUCUGUGAGGCAGCUGCCCUGGAGAAGCAGAUCGGUGAGGCUCUUACUCCUAGUCCAUCCUGUAGCUCCCUGCAGCCUGGUUUUCUCUUAACAGCCCUAAGCUAGGAAUUAAGAAAGUUCCUAGCCUGGGGCUGGGGAUUUAGCUCAGUGGUAGAGCGCUUGCCUAGGAAGCGCAAGGCCUUGGGUUCGGUCCCCAGCUCCGAAAAAA
rnacentral:lncRNA from 1 species